rnacentral:rRNA from 1 species
GAUGAACGCUGGCGGCGUGCCUAAUACAUGCAAGUCGAGCGAACAGACGAGGAGCUUGCUCCUCUGACGUUAGCGGCGGACGGGUGAGUAACACGUGGAUAACCUACCUAUAAGACUGGGAUAACUUCGGGAAACCGGAGCUAAUACCGGAUAAUAUAUUGAACCGCAUGGUUCAAUAGUGAAAGACGGUUUUGCUGUCACUUAUAGAUGGAUCCGCGCCGCAUUAGCUAGUUGGUAAGGUAACGGCUUACCAAGGCAACGAUGCGUAGCCGACCUGAGAGGGUGAUAGGCCACACUGGAACUGAGACACGGUCCAGACUCCUACGGGAGGCAGCAGUAGGGAAUCUUCCGCAAAGGGCGAAAGCCUGACGGAGCCACGCCGCGUGAGUGAUGACGGUCUUCUGAUCGUAAAACGCUGUUAUUAGGGAAGAAGAAAUGUGUAAGUAACUAUGCACGUCUUGACGGUACCUAGUCAGAAAGCCACGGCUAAGUACGUG